rnacentral:snoRNA from 1 species
AUCCUUUGGUAGUUCAUAAGUGUGAUGAUUGAGUGUUCACGCUUUUGUGUGAGAUGUGCCUCCCUCAAACCUUGUUAGGACAUGGGCACAUUACCCGUCUGACG